rnacentral:lncRNA from 1 species
UCAAGUCAUGGUUCAUACUUAUUCUAAAUAAACAAAAUUAAGUCAUGUAAGAUUAACUUGUCUUUCAACAUAGAAAACAUCAAUUAACAAUAAAGAGAAAGGGAAGAAGAGUAGUCAAGGGGGGUUAUCCGAAGCCAAUUCACAAUAAGAAGAGAAAACAAUUAAACUGUAGUGGGUUAUUUGCGACUACUCCUUGUGGCUUCCCAUGCUGGCUCUCCUCCUUGUCUUUACAUUAAAUCAUUUUUAGAAAGUUAAUUGCUUUAUUUUGUGGCAAACGAGUGUUUAACAAGCCAUGAGAAAGACAAGAACAAUCAAGAGAUUUUUCUC